CUGCUUUGGUUUUUGCAGAAUACUCUUCUUGUGCAAUGCAAGCUUUGAGAUGUAGCCUGCAUUCAGAAAGGAACUAUUGCUCUGUGCUUGGCAAGACAUUGGAGGAACUCUCUCGAAUUAUCAAGAAAAUGGAGGACGACAAGAAAAAUCCCAGACUACCUGAAUGCAGCAGGACACCACAUUCAGAAGACAACAGAAGCAAAGUGAAGAGCACCUAGAGUGCUGAUCAAGAAGCAAGGCAUUUUCCAGUGACUAGUACAGUGUGGUAAAAGCAGCUUGUAGUCCUUCUAAAGUAAAGAAGAUCAGAGGACCACACUCACCUUAUCUGGAUGAACUACAAGGACUGCUUUCCUGUAGUACUUCUUUACUUGUUCAGGAGUUACUAAAUCUGCCAUGCUGACUGGUUUCCACUUAGUUUCCCCUUCCCAAAGCACUGUAUGAAGAGUGGAUAUUAAUGCUCUGAUAUUUCUCUCCUUUCCUUCAAUCCAUUCAAGAAUCUGGGAAAAUCAGAAUAUAUAGAACUGAAUGCAGCACUGUAAGGAUUCUCAGUCUAUCUACAGACAUAAUCCUCAUUCUGUGCACAAUUACAAUUUUAAGACUCAAGCACAGUUGUCUUACUGCACUCACUCCCCAAGUUCAACUGUUUUAGCCAUCUGAAAGUGAAACUUUUCAUCUACCACUCAGGAGUAGUUCACUGUUAUUAGUUUACCGCAGAAAUUCAGUCAUUGCAAGAGAUAUUACUGAGAUAGUUACAUAUUACAAACCUCUGUAAAAACAAUGACAAGGGAAUUGUCAGGAGUAAUUAAAAGCAUAUGUUACAAUUAGAUAUUACACUCAAAUUACAUUAAUCUUGUCCCCAUCAGGGCACAAGGUUAAUUAACUAAAAUUCUUACCUGAUUUGUAAAAAAGCAUAAGUGCACAAGCAUUGUACAAAAGAUCAUGUAUAUUAAUAGUCAAUGUUUACUUAAGCAACUGGAAGAGGAGCACAAACUAAAGUGUUCUUUGAGAUAUCCCCGACAAAGUUAUUCUGAUAACUGGCCAUUUCCAACUUUAACAGCAAUAUUCAAGCCACUGAUAUCGUGAUAGUGUUUUCAUUGAAUGCUUAUGUAAUAUGACAAUCUCUGCCAUCUAUCAACAAUGAGUAUGGUAAAUAAAAAUCUGUAUUUA